rnacentral:rRNA from 1 species
UACAGAGGUCUCAAGCGUUGUUCGGAUUCAUUGGGCGUAAAGGGUGCGUAGGCGGCGCGGUAAGUCGGGUGUGAAAUCUCGGGGCUUAACUCCGAAGCUGCAUUCGAUACUGCCGUGCUUGAGGACUGGAGAGGAGACUGGAAUUUACGGUGUAGCGGUGAAAUGCGUAGAUAUCGUAAGGAAGACCAGUGGCGAAGGCGGGUCUCUGGACAGUUCCUGACGCUGAGGCACGAAGGCCAGGGGAGCAAACAGG